UCGAGGUCGAUGAAUUAAGUACCAGUUGCAUAUUGGGGAUCGAUCUAAUCGACGGGCCCCCUUCUCCAAAAUUUUGGGCCUUGUGCCCAGAGUAGAAAGGAAUAUUGAGCGUAUCAUUCAUAGAUCAAGGGAGAUAAUUCGUAAAAAUAAGAAAACGUUAUGAUGGGAUUUUAGCAAUAGGUUUUAGACGGAAAUUUUCUGUGAUUCUCUGACAGCAUCGAUUUGACAAAAAAAAAAGGGGUGGGGGUGGGGGUAAGACGAUAAAGAAGUCUCUAUGUGUUUAUUCAAUCUGUUAGAAACAACAGCAAAAACCUCUUCAUACCCUGACCCUAUUAUAAGGAAGAAUACAUCCAAUAUUCGAUUUUGUUGUUAUUCAUAGAAAGAUCGUCAAGAUGCGAAUGCCUUUUGAUCAUGAGUCGGUUAGAUCAAAGUUGAUGUGCUGUUAUUUAAUCCCGGGUCUAGGAUCAAAGGUUUUCGGUGUAUGACUUACUUCAUUAUCUGUUUUUAUUUUUUCUUAGUGGUAAUUGAAUUGCAUUAGUGACUAGGUUACAGUAGUUUGACGAAGAUUUUCGAUUCGUCAUAAUUGAUUAUAUCAUGAAGGAAUAUAUGAAGCUGACUCUAACUGUUUUUGUGCUUUUAAAUGACUAUAAUGGCUUAUUGGGCUGGUUUACCGGACCCUGUGACGUAUAUAUAGUCCAUCCCUGGACAGGACAUCAGUUUGUCAGAGGAUUACUAAUUUUUGUCAGAUCAACAAUCAAAUGUCAGCCAUUGUAUGAUAUGCUACGUAUAAAAUUAUGCAGUUGACUCUUGAAGUGGUAUUUACUUUUACUGAAAUAAAAAGAAAAGAAGAAAAAUUUACCACGCAGAAUGCUAAUUAAACUUGCACUAAAUUAAUUUUUUUUCUUUCUUUUCUUUUUGCACUGAAUGAUUUUGAAUAAGUUUCCAGAAUGAAAAGAAGUUGAAGAAUCAAUCUGGGUUUUCUGUAAAUUAAAUAUCAAAUUUGAUUAUAGCAAAAAUGUAUCUAAUGAAACUGAAAAUGAUUUGGAGUAGAAAAAGAGAAAUCGUCAAAAGAAAUGGAAUUUUGUUCUCAAGUCAAAUAAAAUUUGUGGAAUGAAAAAGUGUA